UACGUAGGGGGCAAGCGUUGUCCGGAAUCAUUGGGCGUAAAGAGCGUGUAGGCGGUCCGGUAAGUCGGGUGUGAAAACUCCAGGCUCAACUUGGAGACGCCACCCGAUACUGCUCUGACUUGAGUUCGGUAGGGGAGUGGGGAAUUCCUGGUGUAGCGGUGAAAUGCGCAGAUAUCAGGAGGAACACCGGUGGCGAAGGCGCCACUCUGGGCCGAAACUGACGCUGAGGAGCGAAAGCGUGGGUAGCAAACAGG
rnacentral:rRNA from 1 species